rnacentral:rRNA from 1 species
UACAGAGGAUGCAAGCGUUAUCCGGAAUGAUUGGGCGUAAAGCGCGUGUAGGCGGCUCGAUAAGUCUGCUGUGAAAGUUCAGGGCUCAACCCUGAAAUGCCGGUGGAAACUGUCGAGCUAGAGUCCGGAAGAGGCGAGUGGAAUUCCAGGUGUAGCGGUGAAAUGCGCAGAUAUCAGGAGGAACACCAAUGGCGAAGGCAGCUCGCUGGGACGGUACUGACGCUGAGACGCGAAAGCGUGGGGAGCAAACAGG